CGCGGUAAUUCCAGCUCCAAUAGCGUAUAUUAAAGUUGUUGCGGUUAAAAAGCUCGUAGUUGGAUCUGUGUCCCGCGCCGUCGGUUCACCGCCUGUCGGUGUUCAACUGGCGUGUAUGCGGGACGUCCUGCCGGUGGCGGUCCGGUUCCCCGGCGGUACGUAGGGGUCGUCCUUGCCUUGCUUGCGUCGUCCCGAAGGCCGCCGCGGUGUUUCCGGCCGCCUUUUCGUACCCGUCGCGGUGCUCUUUACCGAGUGUCGAGGCGGGCCGGCACGUUUACUUUGAACAAAUUAGAGUGCUUUAAGCAGGCCCUGUCCCGCCUGUAUGUUGUGUGCAUGGAAUAAUGGAAUAGGACCUCGGUUCUAUUUUUGUUGGUUUUCGGAAUCUGAGGUAAUGAUCAAUGGGGACAGGCGGGGGCAUUCGUAUUGCGACGUUAGAGGUGAAAUUCUUGGAUCGUCGCAAGACGACCGAAGCGAAAGCAUUUGCCAAGUAUGUUCUCGUCGAUCAAGAACGAAAGUUAGAGGUUCGAAGGCGAUCAGAUACCGCCCUAGUUCUAACCAUAAACUAUGCCUGCCAGCGAUCCGCCGAAGUUCCUCCGAUGACUCGGCGGGCAGCUUCCGGGAAACCAGAGCUUUUGGGUUCCGGGGGAAGUAUGGUUGCAAAGCUGAAACUUAAAGGAAUUGACGGAAGGGCACCACCAGGAGUGGAGCCUGCGGCUUAAUUUGACUCAACACGGGAAAACUCACCAGGCCCGGACACCGGAAGGAUUGACAGAUUGAGAGCUCUUUCUUGAUUCGGUGGGUGGUGGUGCAUGGCCGUUCUUAGUUGGUGGAGCGAUUUGUCUGGUUAAUUCCGAUAACGAACGAGACUCUAGCCUACUAACUAGGCGUACCCGGUAUCCACAAUCGUGCUACCGGCGAUCAAAUUUCUUCUUAGAGGGACAGGCGGCUUCUAGCAGCGAGACUAGCAAUAACAGGUCUGUGAUGCCCUUAGAUGUCCUGGGCCGCACGCGCGCUACACUGAAGGAAUCAGCGUGUCUUCCCUGUCCGAAAGGACCGGGUAACCCGCUGAACCUCCUUUGUGCUAGGGAUUGGGGCUUGCAAUUGUUCCCCAUGAACGAGGAAUUCCCAGUAAGCGCGAGUCAUAAGCUCGCGUUGAUUACGUCCCUGCCCUUUGUACACACCG
rnacentral:rRNA from 1 species